CCCCUGUGGUGGGUGACGGACUCCCUGGGACAGUCUCCCCCGGCCCCCGUGGCGGGUGACGGACUCCCUGGGACAGUCUCCCCCGGCCCCCGUGGCGGGUGACGGAGUCCCUGGGACAGUCUCCCCCGGCCCCUGUGGUGGGUGACUGAGUCCCUGGGACAGUCUCCCCCGGCCCCUGUGGCCGGUGACUGAGUCCCUGGGAACUGCACUCGGGUGUCCAGGGUGCCUGCUGGGCACUUCUGUGAGCUGCUUAUUUGUUUGGCCACAGUUCGUGGCUGAAAGUAUAAGACCGAGCAUCGUGGAAUGUGCUGCUCUGCUGUGUCAUUAACCCUCAGCGCUCAGGAGGCCCUGGCACAGGGGGCUGCUCUGGGCGUGGCUGCCAGUCAGUUCCAGAGCCAGAGGUUUGCAGCCGCCUGACGCCCGAGAGGAGCGCAGCUAACACUCUCUCCCGUCGUCUCUGCACUCAGGCAGAAUAUGAAGUCUCCCCCGACGAGGACCGAAGAGAGCGCGGACAGUUAGUCUUAAACACGUUCUUCAAUAAUGAGAAACUAAUAACUGAUGAGAGAAGCUGCGUGGUGCUGGCAUAAGGACAGUCACCCCAUCAGUGGGCUGGGACUGAUGCAGGAGCCAGCGCAUCCGUUUGCAGUCAGCUGACUUACAACAGCCUACGACACCACUGGGGAGAGUCACCUUUCCAGAGACUGCAGGCACAGCUGGACGUCCACAUGCAAAAGAAUGGAGCUGGCCCUUACCUCACACCACACACAAAGCAUCAUCCAAAUGGAUCGAACACUUCAAUGGAAGAGUGAAAGCCAUAGAACUCCCAGUGGACGUCUCUGAGGUGUAAAGUUAGGUACAAAGCUUUUAAGUUAGCUCUUCAUGACCUUGGUUUAGACUGGUUUCUGAGCACAGUGAAAGGACAGCAACCUAAGCCCAACGUUGCUCAGUGGUUAGAGCACAGGCCUGCGAACUGGAGGGUUGUGGGUUCGAUUCCCUGUCAAGUGCAGGUACCUGGGUUGCAGGUCCAAUCCCUGCCCCCGGUUGGAGUUGGUGUAGGAGCCAACCAAUUGAUGUGUCUCUGUCACAUCGAUACUUCUCUCUCUCUUCUUUCCCCCCCACCCUUCCAUUCUCUCUAAAAUCAGUGAAAAAAUUUCAGCACUCGUUGGGUAAGGAUAAAAAAGUUUUUUUAAAUGAAUAAAUAAGUAAAUAAACUGGACUUGAUCAAAAUUGAAAACUUUGUGCUUCAAAGAGCACUAUAAAGAAAGUGAACAGACAACCUACAGAAUGGGAGAUCCGCUCAGGUCUGGUAUCCAGGAUAUAGAAAGAACUGUUAAAUUCAACAAUAAAGACAGCCCAGUUUAAAAAAAGAGUAAAGUCUGUGUUUUUAACACAGAAAAAGAAGCCUAUUUCUGCACAGUUCACCCCCCUCCUUUUCUGCAGCGGACUUUCCCAUCUGAGGUCUGCACGUCCAAGACUUGAAAAAGCAGGGCAACCCCCUCUUCUGAGAAGGACUCUUGCUCCUGAGUUGAAGGCCCAGAAGGUCUGUCUGACUUUACGGUUAGCAGGCCUUCCCUUGCCUCUGCUCAGGGAGGAUCACAGCACUGCUUGUCCUUUCUGUGGGAAGACAUUAUUCUUAAAUAAAAAUGUUCUAAGUUACCGAGAAAA